rnacentral:rRNA from 1 species
UACGUAGGGCGCAAGCGUUGUCCGGAAUUAUUGGGCGUAAAGAGCUCGUAGGCGGUUUGUCACGUCGGAUGUGAAAGCCCGGGGCUUAACCCCGGGUCUGCAUUCGAUACGGGCAGACUGGAGUGUGGUAGGGUAAACGGAAUUCCACGUGUAGCGGUGAAAUGCGUAGAUAUGUGGAAGAACACCGGUGGUGAAAACGGUUUACUGGGCUGAAACUGACGCUGAGGAGCGAAAGCGUGGGGAGCGAACAGG